rnacentral:rRNA from 1 species
UACAGAGGUCCCAAGCGUUGUUCGGAUUCACUGGGCGUAAAGAGCGUGUAGGCGGUUAGGUAGGUCCGUUGUGAAAACUCGAGGCUCAACCUCGAGACGCCGAUGGAAACCAUCUGACUAGAGUCCGGAAGAGGAGAGUGGAAUUCCUGGUGUAGCGGUGAAAUGCGCAGAUAUCAGGAAGAACACCCGUGGCUAAGGCGGCUCUCUAGUACGUGACUGACGCUGAGACGCGAAAGCGUGGGGAGCGAACAGG